AUGUUAUUAACAGCUUUAGAUAAGAGGUGUCAUGUUCUGCUUUGUCUAAACUUCCUUUUUAAUUUAAAAUAAUUAAGCAUGGAAAAUUUUUCUCAAAAGGCAUACUGCAUCUGAUAAUAUCCAUAUAUAUUUUAUUUUGUCCAGGUUUUAGGAUGGCUUGUCUGCAGUUAAAUCUUUUAACAGAAAGCCUCGCUGGCUCUAUGGUUGGGGUUUUUUUUCUUUCUUUCUUUUGACCUUGAUGUGUCCUUAAGCUUUGCUGGUGAUGUUGUUGAAUUGCUUGGAGGCUAGUCUCAGCAAAGAACCCCACGUAUGUCGGCUCCACCCCAGAAGGCUCGCAAGACAAAUUCUGACAAUAUGAAAACCUUAAUUUUUGAUGAACUGUGUGGACCUACCUCUUCAUGAGCAAGAUUGCAGCUGCCAACGUUAGGAUGCAGCCUUCCAGGAGAUGCAGUCUUGUCUCACCUCUGCUUGAACACUAAGGACCAUUUGCUGGCAUUUCAUUUAUUGCUUGAGAUUAGCAGCACCUCGUUCACUCACUCAUUUAUUUGACCAGAGCUGGAAACUUUGGACUAUCUUCUCCAAUACAUCACUCUUGAAAUGAAAAAUUGUACAGGCCUGAAGGGAGCCGAUUUGGUCUGAUGAAGUGUCAAGUUAACACCAUGGAGUGUUAGGGAGGACUAUCAAUGUAUUUCAGUCCACAGCAUUUGUCAUGAAGAUAAUUGUGACUGCUGUCCCCCUUCCUUGUCAUCACUUUUCAUCCAUGGAUGCCCUGAAGGGCUGCUUAGUCUGCCUGGAGGAGAAGGGAGUUACACCUGCCCCAUCACAGCCACCCCCCCCCCACUUGCUGUGACUGCCAGGAGACGAUGGGAAGCAGCACUGAAGAUGGAGUAAUGAUCAGAAGGUAGCCAUACAAAGGACUUCAGCCUCCUCUUCACUGGGAAUCUUCACUGAAGUGGAAGGGACCAAGACAGGAACGUCCAAAUGUUUUUGGUGUAGUCUACUUGUGCUUUUCUCAGCCACGUUCAGCAAAAACUGCUAGAGGUUGUUCCGACUCCAAGGGUGCAAGAGGUGCCACCCUGCACUUGCUUCUAGGUGAGGUUAAGCCUGAGAGCCUCUGCACUCAAGGGCACAGCCAUACUGCUGGGCUGUAACCCAGCCUCCAGGAACCAGCCAACAGUGGGAGCUGAGUAACUUCAGUGGUUAAUUGUAAUGCUCGUGUGGCCUGAGCAGAACAAAACAGAAAUAAUCAGCCUUAAAACAACCAGAAAAACCCAAAAGCAACACAGUUUUAUUUUAGAGUAACAACACAUGUAGCUGAACAAAUACUGCUGAUGAGCAAGGACACGGAUUUCUCUCCAGGCAUCCUGCAGUCCUGUAGGGAAGAAGUGACCUUAUUUGCAUUUUUCUUGUUGAAUUGCUGUCAGGAUUUCUGCAGCAUGGCAAGAGAAAAUUCCUUCAGGAGAACAUAGAAAUAUCACAGCACUAACACAAUAUCCUCCAACUAGGUUCCUUUUCCUCUGCCGUCCUGCUGGCUGGCCAGCCACCCAGCAAUAAACAGCGCAUCCGCCUCAUUCAGCUGCAGCUCGCAUCCUUUUUCAUAGAAUGUACUGCGAAAGCAGCAGGCCUUUAAUACAAUACAUAAUGCCCACAAACUAAAGAAGAGAAGAGGGUUUAAUAUUCUCCCUGCAUUUCAAAAGCAUGGAAGUGGCUCAUCCCCCCAUUUCCAGAAUAAUCUGAUCUUAGGUCCAUGCUCCUGCCCUUCCUACCCAGCCAGAAGUAUCUGCCUUUGCCUUGUACUUGCACAUUCAAGUGCUCCUUUCUAAGGUCAGCAGUUUGAGUUUGAUGUCUAUGAUUUUAGACACUUCUAUCCAGAGCAUUUUCAAUUGUAAUCAUGUUCUCUAAAUUGUUUAGACUCUUUCCCAGCAUGAUGUCCUGCUUCAAUUUUAUAGUUAGAUAAUUAAAUUCAGCAUGUAGGAGCAUUCAGCUCCUCAGCAGCAUUGCACAGAUGCAGAUGUGAGGCAGACUGCUGUGCAACAUGCUUGAUAUCUUCUCCUGCAUUAGUGGUAGCUGAGCCAGUGAGCAAUGCUUUUCUGUAGCAACGCAUCCUCUGCAAGGUGCGAGGCCCCUCUUCCCCCAGUCUGGAGGGGCUGCACCUCUUCAACGGCACAGGUGCCAGAAACUGCAGGUGCUGCGGCACACACCCCAGAGCUCCAGCAGAAACGUACCUGGGAAGGGCCAUCUGCCAUCACCAUCUAAGCUUCCUGCAUAAGUGACGCACACACUAACUCCAUUAUAGCAUGGAUUCAUCACACACAGCACCAGUGUGAUACCAGUGUGAUCCUGAUAUUUAAAGGAUUUUUCUUUAAUACGUAUAUAUGAUACAUUUAGAAAUUGCUUCACAGAAAAUAAUGUUUGUUUUGUCCAAUGAAAGACUGCAAAAUUCUGAAUUUAAUGUAUAAUAUAACCUUUAUUCUUUUUCCUCUAAACUCUUGGAAAGUUACAUAACAAUCGUGCUUUAAUUAUGACACCAUUUAUAGACAUUUAAAAUGCAUCAUAAUUUAUAAAUAUUUUACAUUUGGUCCAUAGAACAGGUUGCAGUUUACUAAAUAAUACUGUACUCUUUUAAACAGGCUCUGUAUAUAUUUUUGAAUAUGUAUAUAUUACAUAUAUAUUUUUAUAUAGAGAGAGAUUUGCUUGGUGUUCAGAUAUUUCCUUAUUGCAAAAAGCAUAUAUGAUCAUACAAUAAUCUUUUUUCAGGGCAAGUACUACAAAAAAGAUACAGCUAUUCACAGUUGACACACGGUAGUUCUACAACACGAUUUGUGCUAUGUGAUACGUUUGUACAGCUUGUUGCUAAAGAGCAGGUCUGUCAAACAUCUGUCAUAACUGUGUACAAACAUUAAAUACUGCAUGUUUCUUAGAACAACAUGGGACUUGAUUACAUGAAACAAUAAAGUUGGAAUUUUUACCCUUAGUCUAAUGAAAUCCACAAGUAUAAUGUGCAUGUAUCAUGUAGAAUGCUUGUGUAGGAUGUCUGGGUUUCCUCCAAAUGGCGAAGACUUACAGGACUUUUGCAUUCCAGCUGUAGCCAGUUAGGACACAGCUUAGCUCUCAUAAUAUUUUACAACUGAUCUAUGUAUGAAACAGUUGAGAACCUACCAAACGUACUUGGAGAUUUUAUGAUGUGGUUUGAAAUACAUGUGUAUUAUAUAUAUAUUAUUUCUACAAUAAUGUGCUUGACAUUCUGAGAAUAAUACCUUAUUGCAAGAACAUGUUUGUCACCUUCAGACAAAAACAACGAAAAACCCAACAUUCACAGGUAACAUGUUUUUCACGUAGUAGUUCUACAUUAAUUGUGCUAUCUAACAUUGUACGUUGCACAAAGAUUUGCUGAAAAGCAUGUUUCAUUGCACAGUUCUGUCACAGUCAUUUACAAUCAAACAUCAACUACUGCAUUUUCUGUAACUGUUUUUGUCUGUUGUAUAGCUGCCAAACGAGAAAUGCCAUACAGGGCUAACCACUGCAUUUUCCACACAGGGAACAACUUCCAGGAGUGGAAGGGGCUUUCUGGCUAUGU